GACUGAUUGCCUCGAUAUUAUCUAGAAUUAAAGAUUUUCUUUCUGAGUAUGGUAUAAUAUCACGUAUAUAGAUAGCUACACCACCUCCAUGUCUAAUUCUAUCAUGUCUAACUAGGUCAUAUCCGUGUAUUUCGACUUCUGAUUUUUUUAUUGUUUGGUUAGUUUGGUUUUAUUGUUUGGUUAUUGAAUGUUCCCCGUUUAGGUAGUUUCACGGAUCGCCAGCCCAGCAAAGGUGUAUAAAGACUGCCGUUACCCAAAUGAUGGCUGUGCAGUGUUUUGUCAAAAGCGUGGGACAAGUCAAAUCUCACUAGACGAUAACAUCCAGGGCCCAGUUGAGUUACAGACUUUUCUCAGUGCCUUCAACUCUCCAAAAACUUUUUCUUCUGCAGUGGCGUAGCCAAGGAGGAGCGAGGGGGGCCACCGCCCCCUCCCCCCCCAAUUGCCACAAAAACCAUUCUCUCAAAAAGCCUAAAUCCAUAGAGAAAUUGGGAGGGGGGGGAUACAUGUUACAUUUUCGAAGUUAAAACUAAGUUUCCAUCUAAGACAACGACGAUUUACUGGAGGAACUUAGUGUGUGAAAUUUCGUUAAAGCAUUUGUAUAUAUAAUUCCAAGAAGAAUGGAUUUAGUUUAGAUUUUCGACUGUUAAAUUGGCAUGUAUAUCAUUACAACAUCGAAUAUCUUUUCUCAAAUUUGUUAUGUAUGCCAUGUAUCUUAGUAUAAAAAGUAAUGCAAUUUUGAGAAUGCGAGACAUGCGUCUCGUACAAUUAUCUAAAUGCAAAAUUUCCGAUCAAAAUUACAUUGGGAUUGUCUUCGCCCCCUCCCCCCACCUCGAAGAUCGGCAUUACGCACAGAAGGAAAAUAAGCUCACACGGACUCCUCUUCCAGUUUUUUAACGUGACUUUUCUAUGCAAUACAUUUAGAUCCGAUAAAAAAUAUCUGGUAAAAAAUCAUGUCUUUGAUGCACUUUAUUAUCCUCGGAAUUCUGCAAAAUUUUACCCCCAAAAUGCUUCAAAUCGCAUUUGUGGGACUGUAGAUUUUAAAUCUUGCAAUCUCACGCCAUUGCCGUUCGCUUCGCGCGCCUCCCCCCCCCCAGCCAACAAAAAAAUAUAGAGCUAUUGUUACGCCACUGACAAAUAGUAACGGGCGAUACCAGGAUUUUUAGUUCGAUACCGAUACUUUUAAAAUCGAUACCAAAAUAAACACAAAAUUUUAAUUUUUGAUAACGGAAGUGAUUACUUAAAUUGCCAGUAUCGGCUACUUUCGAUAUCUGCCUGUCAGCGGAAAAAACAUUUUACAUUACCAUAUGUAACCUAAAUAAAACUAUAAGUAAACCAACAACCCAAAACGUAAUAGAUAUUUUCUAUACAUGACUUGGCGCACCACAUUUGGAAUAUUCAACCAAGAAUUAGUAAAAUGAAACAAGUCGUUCAAAAAAGGGUGCAUACCGAUA